UACGAAGGGAGCUAGCGUUGUUCGGAAUCACUGGGCGUAAAGCGCACGUAGGCGGAUUGCUAAGUCAGGGGUGAAAUCCUGGAGCUCAACUCCAGAACUGCCUUUGAUACUGGCGAUCUUGAGUCCGGGAGAGGUGAGUGGAACUGCGAGUGUAGAGGUGAAAUUCGUAGAUAUCAGGUAGAACACCCGUGGCGAAGGCGGCUCUCUGGGACGGUACUGACGCUGAGACGCGAAAGCGUGGGGAGCAAACAGG
rnacentral:rRNA from 1 species